rnacentral:precursor_RNA from 1 species
CUGGUAUUUUGAUGCUUUGCUGGCUGGUGCAGUGCCUGAGGGAGUAAGAGCCCUGUUGUUGUAAGAUAGUGUCUUACUCCCUCAGGCACAUCUCCAACAAGUCUCUUGCUCUCCUCCAAUUU